UACGUAGGGUGCAAGCGUUAAUCGGAAUUACUGGGCGUAAAGCGUGCGCAGGCGGUUGUGUAAGACAGAUGUGAAAUCCCCGGGCUCAACCUGGGAACUGCAUUUGUGACUGCACGGCUGGAGUGCGGCAGAGGGGGAUGGAAUUCCGCGUGUAGCAGUGAAAUGCGUAGAUAUGCGGAGGAACACCGAUGGCGAAGGCAAUCCCCUGGGCCUGCACUGACGCUCAGGCACGAAAGCGUGGGGAGCAAACAGG
rnacentral:rRNA from 1 species